rnacentral:rRNA from 1 species
GAUGAACGCUGGCGGCGUGCCUAAUACAUGCAAGUCGAGCGAACAGAUGAGAAGCUUGCUUCUCUGAUGUUAGCGGCGGACGGGUGAGUAACACGUGGGUAACCUACCUAUAAGACUGGGAUAACUCCGGGAAACCGGGGCUAAUACCGGAUAAUAUUUUGAACCGCAUGGUUCAAUAGUGAAAGACGGUUUCGGCUGUCACUUAUAGAUGGACCCGCGCCGUAUUAGCUAGUUGGUAAGGUAACGGCUUACCAAGGCGACGAUACGUAGCCGACCUGGGAGGGUGAUCGGCCAAACUGGAACUGAGACACGGUCCAGACUCCUACGGGAGGCAGCAGUAGGGAAUCUUCCGCAAUGGGCGAAAGCCUGACGGAGCAACGCCGCGUGAGUGAUGAAGGUCUUCGGAUCGUAAAACUCUGUUGUUAGGGAAGAACAAAUUUGUUAGUAACUGAACAAGUCUUGACGGUACCUAACCAGAAAGCCACGGCUAACUACGUGCCAGCCGCCGCAGUAAUAC